rnacentral:rRNA from 1 species
GUUAAAAAGCUCGUAGUUGGAUUUCUGGACGGAGCGACCGGUCCGCCGCUGUGCGGUGUGUACUCGUGUUUGACUCGGUUCAUCCUUGUGGGAAAGCGCUUUCGGCAUUCAGUUGCCGUGGCGGGGAACCACAUCUUUUACUGUGAAAAAAUUAGAGUGUUUAAAGCAGGCAUUUUGCUGUGAAUACAUUAGCAUGGAAUAAUAACAUAGGACUCUGUUCUAUUUUGUUGGUUGGAGAUCAGGGUAAUGAUUAAUAGGGACAGUUGGGGGUAUUCAUAUUUAAUUGUCAGAGGUGAAAUUCUUGGAUUUAUGAAAGAUGAACUCAUGCGAAAGCAUUUACCAAGGAUGUUUUCAUUAAUCAAGAACGAAAGUUAGGGGAUCGAAGAGGAUUAGAUACCCUCGUAGUCUUAACCAUAAACUAUGCCGACUAACGGAUCGGAGGACGUACCAUUCUAUGGCUCCUUCGGCACCUUACGANAAAUCAAAGUCUUUGGGUUCCGGGGGGGAGUAUGGU